rnacentral:rRNA from 1 species
GCUUACACAUGCAAGUCGAACGGCAGCACGGGAGCAAUCCUGGUGGCGAGUGGCGAACGGGUGAGUAAUACAUCGGAACGUGCCCUGUCGUGGGGGAUAACUAGUCGAAAGAUUAGCUAAUACCGCAUACGACCUGAGGGUGAAAGCGGGGGACCGCAAGGCCUCGCGCGACAGGAGCGGCCGAUGUCUGAUUAGCUAGUUGGUGGGGUAAAGGCCUACCAAGGCGACGAUCAGUAGCUGGUCUGAGAGGACGAUCAGCCACACUGGGACUGAGACACGGCCCAGACUCCUACGGGAGGCAGCAGUGGGGAAUUUUGGACAAUGGGGGCAACCCUGAUCCAGCAAUGCCGCGUGUGUGAAGAAGGCCUUCGGGUUGUAAAGCACUUUUGUCCGGAAAGAAAUGGCGCUGGUUAAUACCCGGAGUCGAUGACGGUACCGGAAGAAUAAGCACCGGCUAACUACGUGCCAGCAGCCGCGGUAAUACGUAGGGUGCGAGCGUUAAUCGGAAUUACUGGGCGUAAAGCGUGCGCAGGCGGUUUUGUAAGACAGGCGUGAAAUCCCCGAGCUCAACUUGGGAAUGGCGCUUGUGACUGCAAGGCUAGAGUAUGUCAGAGGGGGGUAGAAUUCCACGUGUAGCAGUGAAAUGC